GUAUGGCUGUUGUGUUAAUAAUUUGAUAUUUUUUCAUACUGUAUCUAGUGCGCAACAGUAUCGAAGACGCUAUUAAAGAUGUGCAGUCCAAGAAAGUCGAUGGAUUAUUCAUAGAUCACUACGCAAACACCUUUUAUCACUCAAGAGAAAAACUGAAAACGCUUCUCACCGUCAAGAAAUUGGAACUUCAAAGAGAUGUCGGGGUUCUCUUUUCAAAGGACAGAAAAUACCUGGCAGAUUGCUUAAAUUAUCAGCGUUCCACCAUUUUGAGGUCGGCUCAAACCAUCACUGCAACAUAUAAGUACACCAAAAGUAAUCCAGCCAAACAAUUCAGUUUGUUUGACGAUUCUUCCAGCUUUAUUAAAAUACUCCUGUACAUUUUGCUUGGAGUAUUGGCGGGAAUGCUUUGUAUUGGAGUAAUAUGGGACUUACUUAUCAGGAAGAAGUCUGGCAAGCAGCAAAAUUCCACGAUAGAGUGGCAAGCUGAAAACAAAGGGAUGGUGUUAACUGAGAGAGAAAGUAUUCUCAACGACUUUGAAGUAGGCAAAAGACUUCUUAAACAAAUGCAAGAUCACUUUAUUAUACUGGAAUCAAAGGUUUCAAAACUUCGGGGUAGCCAGUAAACGGUGCGUUCAGUGAGUUUUGCAAGUUACAAACCAUGCAACACGUGUACAGGUUAAAAAAAAUCUUGAUUGCAUAUCUAUGUAUGUACUGAUUUCACUCCAAAGGCAGGCAAUAUUCAACAUCUAUGUAAGAGGACAAGGCUAGAACAGCAUCAUCUACCUAUCUAUCACAACUUGAUGGAAAUUGCUGAAAAGAAGUGUGCUUGUUUGUUAAAGUAAUCGUACUGGAAAAUAGCUUCCGUGUAUGAUUUCGUCAUGCGUUAAGUGAAUUUUUCUUCUCCAGCUUCUAGCUUAAUUUUUUUUUAAUUACUCCUUAUUAUAUCUGCCAAUCUGCAUCUUGACAUUUUGGCUUGGGGUAAAGUUAUCUAUUCUUACGUAAACUUACAGGUAGCUUAUUACUUCCACUGUACUUACGAACUUAACGAAUGCAGAUCAUCGAUCUCUUUGAAGUUUUCAAAUUCUUGUAUUAGUCCAAAACUUAGCCUUUUUUUCCAUAAGGUUUUCAGCCCCUUUUUGCAGAUUGAAAAACUUUACUUAGCAAAUUAUUUCAUCAUUGUCUCUCAUAAUCAGUUCAAUAGAUAACAACAAAAGUCUUUGUUAAGUUCUUACUUAGUUAAAAUGCAUUGUAUUUUGUCGUUUGAGUAGUUCAAUAGUUCAGGAAGUCCAGCUGCGUGCAUCCAGCGGCAGGAGGAGACUACUAUAAGGCCUUGCGAACAGUAAAUGGUUGAUUAUUUUAACUGGAGGCCAAUUCGACCGCAGAGGUGACUUAGCGAGAUUAAAAACACACUAGGCUACUAUCCUUUGAUGGCGAGGGUGGCCUGCACGCAAGCAACCGUGUUUAUCUAUUACUCCUUGCUCAAUAGAAUGGAAAAUACCUAAAAUACGAAUGUAUUUAUGUACACAUAACACUUAGUGAAAAACAGAAAGACAAAACAAAUAAAUAUAUGUUCAAAAUC